UGUGCGCACCAGCCCAUGGGAACCAUCUGGUCGGGACGCACAGCAGCACGAGCGCUCGUCUGUCACUUACCUGGUCGGGACCCCACGAUACAUCGGCACGCGUCGAGCGGCGCAUAGACGAGCUCUCUUCCCCGCUCCUCUCUCUCUCGGUUCGCUGUGAGACGCAGAAAUUCCCCACUCCUCCCACCCAAAUCUCAUGGACCAGUUGUGAUUAAGGAAGGGCGCGGCCGGCGGGGAACCGUGGCCGUGAUUGGAUGGGGUCGUCGAGGACCAUGGCGGCGGAGCAGGCCAUGUCCAGGCACCGGAUCGACAGGCUCUAGGCGCAGAUCUACAAGCACCGGGCGCCAUCCCCGUCGGCGGCCCACACGUUGCUGCUCCAGCACCCGCGGCAGUAGAAGUGGGCGCGCCCGACAGACCUCAUCUCGUCAGGGGCGUCCACGUCGAAGUAGAUGUCGCGGGCGUGGGGCGCAUCGUUGACGGCCAUAGAGACGACGAUGCCGUCUACGGGAAGGCCGACAACGUCGCGCGUGUGCAGCUCGUCCGAGCACCACUACUCCCAGACGCCUUGGGCGCUCCAUUUGAAGUGCCGGAGCAUGGCGUCGUCUUGGACGACAUGAGACAAAAUUUUCAGUGCAAGGGGGCAAGUUGUAUCCACCACUUAGGCAAUUUUCAGGAAAAUACUGGCUUGUGAUUGAUUCUACAACUGAACUGGACUGCAGUUGCUCUACAUCGAGAAUUGUUGGGGCCUCCAUUGUAGGGUGAUUGCUCAGCCCGUGUCAAGGAAUUGGAUGGAUGGAUGUUGGCUGAACUGAAUUGGAUGGAUGUUGGCUGAAUUGCUCAGCCCGUGUCAAGAAAGCUUCAGACAAAAAGAUUGCUCAGCCCAUGUCAACUGAACUGAAUUGGAUGGAUGUUGGCUACCGGCCGGCUGAUGUAGCAGGAAAGGAAAGUUCAGGCCGAGGUUGCACAUUAUGCAAUGCGCCGAUGAAGAAGCAACGAAUUUUCACUAGUACUCCUAGUAUUAUUGUUGGCCAAUUUACAGGGUGCGACGAUGAGGGAUGCACAAACAAGCUGUGGCCAGUGGGAGAGGCAAGGGGACCUGUUCACCGCUGCAAGAGGGAUGUCGAAGGAACCAAAAGUGGAAGCUAGCAUAGCGACACCAUGUUCAUUUGUCUUCAAGAGGACCCACAUAUAAAAAUAUCAAAGCCAUGGAAGGCCUAGAGCAGCUACGCUCUAGGUGUAGUGCAAAAAAAUGAUACUAGUUGCCCGGGGACCAGGUGCUUUUUUCUCUUCGAUGGGUGGUCACACAAGACGAUGGGGUGGAAGAAGAAAGAAGAGGGAGAGGAAGAAGGGCGUGGGGACAGCUUGGGAGAGAAGAAGAAAGGAGAGAGGGGGCAAUGCUUUUGGUGAAGCGCGUGAAGGGAGGGAGAGAAGCUGGGUGGACGGAGGGACGUGUGAGACGGUGAACCCUUUCCUUUCCAAAUCUGGACUGAGGGGGACCAAAACAUACCUAAUAUGGGAGGCUGCCAGGGGGCACUAGCGGGCACACGUUUGCCAGCUAGUAGACGCGUCCAAAAAAUAAACAAAGUCCUCAUAUGUGGCAUUUCACCAUCACAUAUGUGGUGUGGAUAAGA